rnacentral:lncRNA from 1 species
AAACAUUUACAAUCCUAAUGGAUCAAAUAUAACAAAACAAAAUAAAAGGGACAUAAAUAGAGAAAAAAAAACGGUAUGAAGUUUUCAGCGGGUCGACUCGUCGGAAACCGGAAAAAUUCUAGCCAAGUCAGCAUAAACCCCUUUUUACAAACUUUUGAGACCGGAUCGUUUCAUAUACAUGAAGCUCACAACAUUAUGAACUAAUCCAAACAUCAAACAAGAUUCAAAAG